CGCUGGCGGCGCGCCUAACACAUGCAAGUCGAACGAGCGAGAGAGAGCUUGCUUUCUCGAGCGAGUGGCGAACGGGUGAGUAACGCGUGAGGAACCUGCCUCAAAGAGGGGGACAACAGUUGGAAACGACUGCUAAUACCGCAUAAGCCCACGGCUCGGCAUCGAGCAGAGGGAAAAGGAGUAAUCCGCUUUGAGAUGGCCUCGCGUCCGAUUAGCUAGUUGGUGAGGUAACGGCCCACCAAGGCGACGAUCGGUAGCCGGACUGAGAGGUUGAACGGCCACAUUGGGACUGAGACACGGCCCAGACUCCUACGGGAGGCAGCAGUGGGGAAUAUUGCACAAUGGGCGCAAGCCUGAUGCAGCGACGCCGCGUGAAGGAUGAAGUAUUUCGGUAUGUAAACUUCUAUCAGCAGGGAAGAAAAUGACGGUACCUGACUAAGAAGCCCCGGCUAACUACGUG
rnacentral:rRNA from 1 species